AUUGAACGCUGACGGCAUGCCUUACACAUGCAAGUCGAACGGUAACAGGUUAAGCUGACGAGUGGCGAACGGGUGAGUAAUACAUCGGAACGUGCCCAGACGUGGCGGAUAGCUCGGCGAAAGCCGGACUAAUACCGCAUAAGCUCUGAGGAGGAAAGCGGGGGACCGUAAGGCCACGCGCGUUUGGAGCGGUCGAUGGCACAUUAGGUAGGUGGUGGGGUAAAAGCUUACCAAGCCUACGAUCUGUAGGUGGUCUGAAGGGACGCACAGUCACACUGGGACUGAGACAAGGCCCAGACUGCUACGGGAGGCAGCAGUGGGGAAUUUUGGACAAUGGGCGAAAGCCUGAUCCAGCAAUGCCGCGUGCAGGAUGAAGGCCUUCGGGUUGUAAACUGCUUUUGUACGGAACGAAAAGGCGCCUACUAAUACUGGGUGUUGAUGACGGUACCGUAAGCAUAAGCACCGGCUAACUACGUGCCAGCAGCCGCAGUAAUAC
rnacentral:rRNA from 1 species